rnacentral:lncRNA from 1 species
UGUAGGUUAAUGUAGUCUACUGUUUAUUGUACCCAACAUCCAGUUCCUUCUUGUCAAAGAAUUAUCAAUCUCUGCUUAUUGCCAUGUGAAUUGCAGUGACUCCUUAGCUCAACGACACCACUCUGCCUGUGUGACGUGCUUUCUCCAGUGGAAUGUGAGCAGCGUGACACAUGCCGUGUUUGAAGUCUGAAGAGCCAUAUUUGAUUCAACCAUCUCCAUUUUUUCGUGCAAUGAGAAGGGUAUGUCCCAAAGAAAGACUACUUCUGUUCCUUGGCUUCUGGGAUGAGGAUGUAUGUGGACCAGAUUCACGGUCAGUGUGCAGCUGCCACAGCCCCAAAGUGUCAGAUCUGCUGUUGUCUUGGGAAAAAAUGUUUGCUUCAAAAUCGAAAUCAAUUCCAUCACUGAUUCCAGUGUAUCUUACAGCUUCAGGAUAGAAGCACACAGGACUGAGCUAGUUGAACAAGGGAUCGGAGAAGACCAGCAUGCCCCAGACUCACUCAGGAAUGGCUGUGAUUACCCCACACCUGCAAGCUCUUCCAACUCCACCCACACAUCCACUUUACAGACACCACCAUGUGAACCAGCCCUUGAAAGGCGACCUCUCACUGUGUUAGAACCAUACCUCAAGUCACCCCCAGGUCGAGCUGUGUAUUCCACAGGCACUCUCCAGAUUUCUAUCACUGCAAUCAUUACACCAGUUAAAGGACAUAUUUUUAAGCUGAUAUCCUGCUGUUGUUAUGAAGAGAAUUGA